rnacentral:rRNA from 1 species
UACGGAGGGUGCGAGCGUUGUUCGGAAUUACUGGGCGUAAAGCGCGUGUAGGCGGCUCGGAAAGUCGGGUGUGAAAGCCCUGGGCUCAACCUAGGAAGUGCACUCGAAACUUCCGAGCUGGAGUUCUGGAGAGGAAGGCGGAAUUCUCGGUGUAGAGGUGAAAUGCGUAGAUAUCAGGAGGAACACUGGUGGUGUAGACGGCUUUCUGGACCGUAACUGACGCUGAGACACGAAAGCGUGGGUAGCAAACAGG